rnacentral:tRNA from 1 species
AGUAGAAUGGCUGAGCUUGAUAAGGUGAUAGAUUGUAAAUCUAUAAAGGAAUGAUAAUUCUUCUACU